GACGGAAGGUGCAAGCGUUGCUCGGAAUCACUGGGCGUAAAGGGUGCGUAGGCGGCCGUGUAAGUCUGGCGUGAAAGCCCCGGGCUCAGCCCGGGAAGUGCGCUCGAAACUGCACGGCUCGAGUGCCGGAGGGGAGAGUGGAAUUCCUGGUGUAGCGGUGAAAUGCGUAGAUAUCAGGAGGAAUACCGGUGGCGAAAGCGACUCUCUGGACGGUAACUGACGCUGAGGCACGAAAGCUAGGGGAGCAAACAGG
rnacentral:rRNA from 1 species